UACGAGGGGGGGCGAGCGUUGUUCGGAAUUAUUGGGCGUAAAGGGUGCGUAGGCGGUUUGGUAAGUCUGAUGUGAAAUCUAUGGGCUCAACUCAUAGUCUGCAUCGGAAACUGCCGGGCUUGAGUGUGGGAGAGGUGAGUGGAAUUCCUGGUGUAGCGGUGAAAUGCGUAGAUAUCAGGAGGAACACCUGUGGCGAAAAGCGGCUCACUGGACCAUAACUGACGCUGAUGCACGAAAGCUAGGGGGAGCAAAACAGG
rnacentral:rRNA from 1 species